GGCAAAAUUAUAUUUUCAUCCCGAGAAUUUAUGCCCCUAUUUAUACAUGACAAAACCUUACUGGCCUUAGCAACUGCAGAUUGACAUUGCAUAUUGCUGCCUAAUUUGUUAUCUAUAACAAUUCCCAAAUCCUUCUUGUGUGUGGUUAUCCCUAAUUUACUACCAUUUAGUGUGUAAGUUGCUUGUGCAUUCUUAACCCCGAAGUGCAUAACUUUGCAUUUAUCUACGUUAAAU